rnacentral:rRNA from 1 species
GACGAACGCUGGCGGCGUGCUUAACACAUGCAAGUCGAACGGAAAGGCCCUGCUUUUGUGGGGUGCUCGAGUGGCGAACGGGUGAGUAACACGUGAGUAACCUGCCCUUGACUUUGGGAUAACUUCAGGAAACUGGGGCUAAUACCGGAUAGGAGCUCCUGCUGCAGGGUGGGGGUUGGAAAGUUUGGGCGGUUGGGGAUGGACACGCGGCUUAUCAGCUUGUUGGUGGGGUAGUGGCUUACCAAGGUUUUGACGGGUAGCCGGCGUGAGAGGGUGACCGGCCACAUUGGGACUGAGAGACCACCCAGACUCCUACGGGAGGCAGCACUGGGGAAUAGUGCACAAUGGGCGGAAGCCUGAUGCAGCACCGCCGCGUGCGGGAUGACGGCCUUCAGGUUGUAUUCCGCUUUCGCCUGUGACGACGCGUGAGUGACGGUAAUGGGUAAAGAAGCACCGGCUAACUACGUG